UCAUAUAUAAGUUGUUUUCAUAAACUAUCCCAACAACCUCACAUUGCCGGUAGAUAUGGUCAAACAAAUCAAUCCAUUGAGGUUGUAACUCAAUCAUAAGAAACCUGUUUAUAAGAUGAACAACGACUAUGAUUAUAAAUCAAUAUUGAAGAUCAAGAAAGAUGAAAUUCAUUAUAAAUAAGGCUAGCCUUCUAAAUUUCAUACAAGCAUAAGAGGCUUAUUAUAAUUUUGCUUAAUUGAAUAUUCGGUCUCUUAAUUUAAUUCAUUUUUUUUUAAGUUUUCCUUAACUAUUAAACGUUUCAUUUUGGUUCUUUCUCUUAUUUCCAUCAUUCAACUUGGUCCUAUUUCAUUAAUUUUAACCUCCUAAAAAAGAGGACCGUUGGAUAAAUGAGUUCUAUUAGAUCUAACUGUGUAUCACCAACACCUAAUUUAUUUUAGUUUGCUUCAUCUUCUUCCUCAUCUAUAAUUUCAUCUUCAUUUUUAGAACCUUCAUCAUCUUCAACCUUUUUUUUCUUUCAAAAAUUCACCAUUUCAAGUUUAACAAAAACAAAAUAAUCAAUCCCUUAACAUCAUUUAAAACAUACAAAUUAUUUCCCAAAAUAAAAUAAAAAUUCAAAGAGCAAUCAUAAGUCACCAAAUUCGGCUUGGACCGCAUGAUAUAUGCAGGGGUCAGGUUCGAACCUCAGACACUCCACUUCUCCACAAUUUAACAAUUUAAUUGUGCGAAGCUCUAGCCACAAGCUACUUGACAAAAAAAAAAAAAAAAAAAUUGAUUCCAGAAGCAGCUUCCAUGUUUUUGUAGAUUGUGACCAAAUUGUCAAUAUGAGGAGCAGGACGUACCUCUGAAGUUAAUCAUAGUUAAUAAAUUAGGGUUUGAUUAAGAUUAGGGUUUGUUAAUCAUAAACAGAUGAUAAUUUCUGUUGUGAGUUUGGAGAGUGAAAAUGCGGAAUGAAGUAAACCCAAACUGUACAAUGAAUAAAGAAAGGGUUAUUAUGAAGAAAAUGAAUUGAAUUAGAGAGGAAGAAGAACACGAUAAUGAUAAUUGAAUUGAAUUGAAUUGGUAGUUGGUACCAGAUUGGACAUUUGAGUUCUCUGCCCAUGUUUUCAAGAUCCACCAUUUUGAAUUUCUCUGAAUGAACCACGGUGAAUUAGUGAUAGAAGAAGGGUUUUAAUGAAGUUUUGAGAAAUAAUUUGUAUGUUUUAAAUGAUAUUAAGGGUUUGAUUAUCUUAUUUUUGUUAAAUUUGAAAUGAUGAAUUUUUGAAAGAAAAAAAAGUUGAAGACGAUGAAGAUUGACGAAGGUUCUAAAAAUGAAGAUGAAAUUUUAGACGAGGAAGAAGAUGAAGCAAACUAAAAUAAAUUAGGUGUUGGUGAUACACGGUUAGAUCUAAUAGAUCUCAUUUAUCCAACGAUCCUCUUUUUUAGGAGGUUAAAAUUAAUGAAAUAUGACCAAAUUAAAUGAUAAAAAUAAAAUAAAUGACCAAAAUAAAACGUUUAAUAGUUAAUGGACUAACUUAAAAAAAAGAAUUAAGUUAAGAGACUAAAUAUGUAAUUAAACUUUAUAAUUAUUAUGUGAUUAAUUAAUCUUGACUUUCUUUACAUUUGAGAGUGUCCUAUAUAUAAUUGAUAUUCUAUUUAGUUAUAUGUAUAGAUAGAUUAAGCUUCUAUAACUUGAUAUCAACGCUACAUGAUCUACAUAUUUAGUUUAAAGUGACCCUUCAAUUGCUAAACACAAAUAGUGUUAAACUAGAAGUAAUAAAAGAAUACUACAGCCGGUCCCAUAAAUAAGAAAAUAUUAAGUCAACAAAAGUUUAUUUAUUUUGUCUGCAUACAUCAACUUUUAUUCGCCUAAUUUUUUUCUUAUAUAUAUAGGACUAGAGGGUGUAAUAUACAAUUUGACCAAUUCAUUUUAACACCAAUUAUAAGACAUCAAUAUCUUAAUUAGACCCACCACAUCUUACAUUAUUAUAUUUGUAUUUCCAACAUUUAGGGAAUAGAAAAAAUAGAGAGGGUAAAAAAUGAAAAAAAUCUUGACCUCGUGCUUUAUCUAAUAUGGAUUAAAUAUAGGGUUAAAUAUGUUUUUGAUCUCUAUAAAUAUGUCAACUUUUCGUUUUAGUCCCUCUAAAAAAUUUCUUCAACUUUUAGUCCCUAAUUUUUUUUCCAUUUUCACUUUUAGUCCCUCCUUUAAAGUAAACUUAUAUGUAAAAUACAUAUUUUUGAAGAAAAAUUCAUAAUAUUAUAAGAAUCUCUCCCAAAAAAAUUGGAAUUUAUUAACAAAAUAUGAAUUUUUAUAUUUUUAACGGUUAAAAAUUCAUAUUUAAUUUAUGAUUAUUUUUUGGAAUUUUUUUUUUUGCAAUAUUCUACACAUUUCUGCACAAUUUCAUUAAAAUUACAAAAAUUAACUUAAAAAUAGGGACCAAAAGCAGUGAUUGAAAAUUUUAUAGAUACCACAUGUUAAAGGAAAAUUUUAGAGGGACUAAAACAUAAAAUUGGUAUAUUAAUAGGGACCAAAAACAUAUUUAAUCCUUAAAUAUAUUAACAAAAUCGAGGAAUAGACUAUGGAGGAAGAAAAUAAGAGUGGAAAAUAGUUAUAAGUACCUACACUCUUUUUGACCACAACCUGUGUAUAAAAUCCUAUUCACGAACCUCCUCCAUCAAUUCUUCAACAUACACUCUAAUUUCCUUUUUUAAUGAUUUUCUAAUCAUGAGUUUAGUAUUUGCAAUUGUAGUUACUAGUUAUAUUGCACUAUUUUUUAUUUUAUUUUAAUUUCACCAUAGUUUUUUCCCUUUGAGUUUUUCUGAAAAGGAUUUUAAUGAGAUAGUUGUUGGUUGUUUAUCAUGAUUGAACUCUUUAGUUUUGAUCUGAAUCUCUUUACUUUAUUUUAUUUUAUUUUAUUUUAUUCUAAUAAAUAUAUUGUGUUGCUUCAAAUGACAAACAAUGGUCUUAUUAGAAUGUCAUUUAUGUCAUGUAAUUCAUUUGCACUCUAAUUUUUACUUAGAAAAAUAUUGCUUUUAUUUAUUAUAGUAGUUUAUUAUAUUCAUGGAGUGAUGGUUUUUGUAAUAUCUAUUAGGAGAAAACGAAAGUAAAAAUAUUUGCAUAUUAUAACAUGAAUUUUGUUUAUCAUGUGCAGACUUGCAUAGUAUAAGAAAAAGUAAGUUUACUGCAAAAUUGAAAGGCCAAAGAAACAUAAAUCAAAUUUCAAAAUAAAUUAUAAAAGUUCAAAUAUUAUGGCAUACAAAAAAAAUUAUACCUUCCUUAAAAAAAAAAAAAUCAUACCUUAGGAGCAACAUAAUUUUUUUGCACCUGAUUAAUAUCUCCAUUACUAGAAAAUUUAGUUUUAGCGACGGCUGGAGUCCGUCGCAAAGUAGGCUAAUUUCCUUCGCAAACAUUUUUCUGACGAAUUUUGCGACGAACCAAAAAUCCGUCACAAUAGUGGGCGUCAUAAAAAGUUAGCGAGGGAAAAUCAAAUCCGUCAUAUAUUGCGGUAUAGUAGAGGGAUCUAUGGAUUUGUACACACAAAAACCGUCGUUACACCUAUAUGUAUAAUAUAUCUUCCAUGGACAAUCACUAUCAGAAUUGCAAGGAAUGUUGGCUGCAUGGUCAAACAAUAAACAAAUAAAUGUUACAAAAGGUGAUAAAAUAGUGUAUAAGAUAAAUUAGAAAUUUUAAAAAUGGUGUGAAAAAUUACAUACCGCUACUAGUUAUAACAAGAAAUAGGAAAAUAUAGAUGAUCAAAGCAGAAACAAACAUGAGAAUUUGAACCGUAUUUUUCCUCCUUA
rnacentral:lncRNA from 1 species